GACGAACGCUGGCGGCGUGCUUAACACAUGCAAGUCGAACGGAAAGGCCCUGCUUUUGUGGGGUGCUCGAGUGGCGAACGGGUGAGUAACACGUGAGUAACCUGCCCUUGACUUUGGGAUAACUUCAGGAAACUGGGGCUAAUACCGGAUAUGAUCUCCUGCUGCAUGGUGGGGUUUGAAAGUUUCGGCGGUUGGGGAUGGGCUCGCGGCCUAUCAGCUUGUUGGGGGGGUAGUGGCUUACCAAGGCUUUGACGGGUAGCCGGCCUGAGAGGGUGACCGGCCACAUUGGGACUGAGAUACGGCCCAGACUCCUACGGGAGGCAGCAGUGGGGAAUAUUGCACAAUGGGCGGAAGCCUGAUGCAGCAACGCCGCGUGCGGGAUGACGGCCUUCGGGUUGUAAACCGCUUUCGCCUGUGACGAAGCGUGAGUGACGGUAAUGGGUAAAGAAGCACCGGCUAACUACGUG
rnacentral:rRNA from 1 species